AACGAGCCUUCAUUGGACCUUAAUAUUAGUUAUGGGCAGGUGCGGAAUUUGCAUAAUGGUUCGCUCGGCGCGGUGUUAAUUGCUGUGUGUGAAGUGCCCCGCUAAUGAGAUAACUGCGUGAGGACUCCGGCAAGGAGAGGAGCAAAGCAGGUGGAACGUUAAUCAAAGAAGGAGCGCGGCCCGCAUCAAAGCGCGCUUCGGCUGCUGCGGUGAACUGAGCGCUCGGUUCUCGUUACUCUAAUUCAUUGUUUUUGAAGUGUGCAAUGAGGACAGGAAGGGCUAUUUAAGCAGAGAAGACUCUACACUUGGUCUAGUAAUGUUUUAUUUGCUAGAAACCCUCAAAGUUUCAGGAGUGCUCAAAACAUGCUUAAGGCAUUUAAACAAGAGCAGGCUCUGUGCAUGAGUCACUGAUGGCAUCUCCUUGGAAGGAGAAUACAAGUAGAGGACUCCUGGGAAACAGGAGAUGCAGGGCUGAUUCUGUCAUCUCGUGGUUUUGCUUGCUCCUUAAGUGGGCCCAAUUCCAGCAACUGUUGCCCUUUCCCCAAUUACUGCUCCUUGUGAAGAUCCCUAAAAGGUCCCUGGGGAGGCAGAUACUUCUCUUUUUGUGGCUCCUGCUAGUGUGCAUUAGAUAGAGGAUUUUUGCCUUUUGAAGACUUCAAGAGAGCUUUCAAUUCUGUUUCUUCAAAGUUAUCUGAGAAAAUCUUAUUUGAAGCCACCAGGAAAUGCGAGAGGUGCCUCAAUGAAAUUUACUUAAACAGGAGUGUAUAUUGCAAGGUAGUAGUGGUGAGAUUUCUUGCAAGUCAUACUCAACAAAAUGAUCAGGGGUUUAUUAUACACCUGAUGUGCACCUGAGUAGAAUGCCAUUGAACCAUAAAAACUCAACAUUCUGGACACAGGAGUUGCAGAAGUGGCUGCUAAGGUAAAUGGUGUGUUCCUCCAUGGUGGGGCUCUCUGUGAUGGGUAACACACCCAUGAGAAGCAGAAGAAUUGCUUUAUACUAUUGCUGCUGAUCUCCAUGUAGCUACAAGUACAUGAAGUGUGUCAAGACCUUUGCAAUAAUUAUUUGUGAUAAA